UAUCCAUCAGAGGAAAGUCCGGACACCCUAUUGCAGCAUAGCGGGUAACGCCCGUCCGUUGAGAAACGAGGACAAGUGCAACAGAAAGCA
rnacentral:RNase_P_RNA from 13 species